GCUGAUUUUUAGAAUCAUGUCUCUUUCAAAGCAUACGGACGGAGUGGAUUUGUCACGAACAUUCCCGUAGCCCCGGCCACAGGUAUAGGCAAUACGCUCCCCCCUGAGGGCGCACUGCUGAGGAUUUAAGAUCCCGGCCCGAGGAUAUCCAGAUAAUACUCGGCUUUUCAAUUUUCACUAGUGGGGCCCGUGGAUUCGUUAUCCCAACCGUUGGUUGGUCUGUUACGAGCCACACUGGAUGGACCGUGCCCAAAACAUCCGCCUCGUUGUAAGAUCCUAGACGCCGGUAUUGUUCAGCGUUUCACUUAAACAGGGACCGUCGCUACAUUUCUAAUCUCAACCUUCUGCUUUCAGGCCACAAAUUCAAACUCUAUAACUGUCCUAUUUUGAUAAUAUUAGAGAUUAGACGUCAUACCAACGGUCUGGAUCACCGAUUGUGGUCCCCAUUUUCUCCAAACUCAAAACCCAUGUAUGUUGUGAGUUUCCUCGGCCGGUGGAUCCGGUAUCACCAUGAAAAACUCCAUUUUCGCCAUUAAAGCCAGAGACUCAAGCUCUGCAACCCGCGCCAUUGAAUCGAGCCGUGGCUCGAGAGUCUGGUGGCAGCCAUGUCUGCAGCCGCGGGCGACGCCCUCGAGCUCGAAGCCAUGCGCAUGGAUGAUCAUUAAUGGCACCCAUGCUAUGUCUCUCUCAGGUUUAGGAAAAUUUCCCAUUUGGGAGAUAUUUGUUGCAUGGACCGUCAAUGGUGGGGCCUAGAAUAUCAACCUUUUGGAUCAUGGACAGCCAGGUUCAGAUGGGCCAACAUGAAGAAAAUUGCGAGUUGCUUUUGAGGCUGUAUUGGGUUAGAAAGUCCAUCUUAUGCACUAGGGGUGCGGCUAUGUGAAGAGGAUUCAGAUUUAUAUGAGAUUCUUGGGUGUGGAGCAGAAGGUUACCUGGCACUCAUCUCGGUCUCAUACUGUGUGGGAAAGCCAUCUAAGAUUCUAUAAGACCCAGCUGUUGAGUGAGUGGAGAGGAACCUUUCAGCUUGAAAGAGUAAAUAUUUAUCUAAUGACGGCCACAUUACACUUAUAAAAGCAGCUGUAGCCAACAUAUGUGAAUGUGCUAUA